rnacentral:rRNA from 1 species
CUCCUAAGGCUAAAUACUCUCUAGUGACCGAUAGUGAACCAGUACCGUGAGGGAAAGGUGAAAAGCACCCCGGAAGGGGAGUGAAAUAGAACCUGAAACCGUGUGCUUACAAGUAGUCAGAGCCCGUUAAUGGGUGAUGGCGUGCCUUUUGUAGAAUGAACCGGCGAGUUACGAUUUGAUGCAAGGUUAAGCAGUAAAUGUGGAGCCGUAGCGAAAGCGAGUCUGAAUAGGGCGUUUAGUAUUUGGUCGUAGACCCGAAACCAGGUGAUCUACCCUUGGUCAGGUUGAAGUUCAGGUAACACUGAAUGGAGGACCGAACCGACUUACGUUGAAAAGUGAGCGGAUGAACUGAGGGUAGCGGAGAAAUUCCAAUCGAACCUGGAGAUAGCUGGUUCUCUCCGAAAUAGCUUUAGGGCUAGCCUCAAGUGAUGAUUAUUGGAGGUAGAGCACUGUUUGGACGAGGGGCCCCUCUCGGGUUACCGAAUUCAGACAAACUCCGAAUGCCAAUUAAUUUAACUUGGGAGUCAGAACAUGGGUGAUAAGGUCCGUGUUCGAAAGGGAAACAGCCCAGACCACCAGCUAAGGUCCCAAAAUAUAUGUUAAGUGGAAAAGGAUGUGGCGUUGCCCAGACAACUAGGAUGUUGGCUUAGAAGCAGCCAUCAUUUAAAGAGUGCGUAAUAGCUCACUAGUCGAGUGACACUGCGCCGAAAAUGUACCGGGGCUAAACAUAUUACCGAAGCUGUGGAUUGUCCUUUGGACAAUGGUAGGAGAGCGUUCUAAGGGCGUUGAAGCAUGAUCGUAAGGACAUGUGGAGCGCUUAGAAGUGAGAAUGCCGGUGUGAGUAGCGAAAGACGGGUGAGAAUCCCGUCCACCGAUUGACUAAGGUUUCCAGAGGAAGGCUCGUCCGCUCUGGGUUAGUCGGGUCCUAAGCUGAGGCCGACAGGCGUAGGCGAUGGAUAACAGGUUGAUAUUCCUGUACCACCUAUAAUCGUUUUAAUCGAUGGGGGGACGCAGUAGGAUAGGCGAAGCGUGCGAUUGGAUUGCACGUCUAAGCAGUAAGGCUGAGUAUUAGGCAAAUCCGGUACUCGUUAAGGCUGAGCUGUGAUGGGGAGAAGACAUUGUGUCUUCGAGUCGUUGAUUUCACACUGCCGAGAAAAGCCUCUAGAUAGAAAAUAGGUGCCCGUACCGCAAACCGACACAGGUAGUCAAGAUGAGAAUUCUAAGGUGAGCGAGCGAACUCUCGUUAAGGAACUCGGCAAAAUGACCCCGUAACUUCGGGAGAAGGGGUGCUCUUUAGGGUUAACGCCCAGAAGAGCCGCAGUGAAUAGGCCCAAGCGACUGUUUAUCAAAAACACAGGUCUCUGCUAAACCGUAAGGUGAUGUAUAGGGGCUGACGCCUGCCCGGUGCUGGAAGGUUAAGAGGAGUGGUUAGCUUCUGCGAAGCUACGAAUCGAAGCCCCAGUAAACGGCGGCCGUAACUAUAACGGUCCUAAGGUAGCGAAAUUCCUUGUCGGGUAAGUUCCGACCCGCACGAAAGGCGUAACGAUUUGGGCACUGUCUCAACGAGAGACUCGGUGAAAUCAUAGUACCUGUGAAGAUGCAGGUUACCCGCGACAGGACGGAAAGACCCCGUGGAGCUUUACUGUAGCCUGAUAUUGAAAUUCGGCACAGCUUGUACAGGAUAGGUAGGAGCCUUUGAAACGUGAGCGCUAGCUUACGUGGAGGCGCUGGUGGGAUACUACCCUAGCUGUGUUGGCUUUCUAACCCGCACCACUUAUCGUGGUGGGAGACAGUGUCAGGCGGGCAGUUUGACUGGGGCGGUCGCCUCCUAAAAGGUAACGGAGGCGCUCAAAGGUUCCCUCAGAAUGGUUGGAAAUCAUUCAUAGAGUGUAAAGGCAUAAGGGAGCUUGACUGCGAGACCUACAAGUCGAGCAGGGUCGAAAGACGGACUUAGUGAUCCGGUGGUUCCGCAUGGAAGGGCCAUCGCUCAACGGAUAAAAGCUACCCCGGGGAUAACAGGCUUAUCUCCCCCAAGAGUUCACAUCGACGGGGAGGUUUGGCACCUCGAUGUCGGCUCAUCGCAUCCUGGGGCUGUAGUCGGUCCCAAGGGUUGGGCUGUUCGCCCAUUAAAGCGGUACGCGAGCUGGGUUCAGAACGUCGUGAGACAGUUCGGUCCCUAUCCGUCGUGGGCGUAGGAAAUUUGAGAGGAGCUGUCCUUAGUACGAGAGGACCGGGAUGGACAUACCUCUGGUGUACCAGUUGUCGUGCCAACGGCAUAGCUGGGUAGCUAUGUGUGGACGGGAUAAGUGCUGAAA